rnacentral:rRNA from 1 species
AGUUUGAUCCUGGCUCAGGAUGAACGCUGGCGGCGUGCCUAAUACAUGCAAGUCGAACGAAUCUCUUUUAGAGAUGAGUGGCGAACGGGUGAGUAAUACAUAGGUAACCUGCCCCUGUGCGGGGGAUAACAGGAGGAAACUCCUGCUAAUACCGCAUAGCCAUGAGCACCGCAUGGAGCUCAUGCCAAAUAUCCUUUAUGGGAUAGCGCAGGGAUGGACCUAUGGCGCAUUAGCUGGUUGGCGGGGCAACGGCCCACCAAGGCAACGAUGCGUAGCCGGCCUGAGAGGGCGGACGGCCACAUUGGGACUGAGACACGGCCCAGACUCCUACGGGAGGCAGCAGUAGGGAAUUUUCGGCAAUGGGGGAAACCCUGACCGAGCAACGCCGCGUGAGCGAAGAAGGCCUUCGGGUCGUAAAGCUCUGUUGUAAAGGAAGAACGGCGCAUACAGGAAAUGGUAUGCGAGUGACGGUACUUUACCAGAAAGCCACGGCUAACUACGUGCCAGCAGCCGCGGUAAUACGUAGGUGGCGAGCGUUAUCCGGAAUCAUUGGGCGUAAAGAGGGAGCAGGCGGCCGCAAGGGUCUGUGGUGAAAGACCGAAGCUAAACUUCGGUAAGCCAUGGAAACCGGGCGGCUAGAGUGCGGAAGAGGAUCGUGGAAUUCCAUGUGUAGCGGUGAAAUGCGUAGAUAUAUGGAGGAACACCAGUGGCGAAGGCGACGGUCUGGGCCGCAACUGACGCUCAUUCCCGAAAGCGUGGGGAGCAAAUAGGAUUAGAUACCCUAGUAGUCCACGCCGUAAACGAUGGUCACUAAGUGUCGGGGGUCAAACCCCGGUGCUGCAGUCAACGCAAUAAGUGACCCGCCUGAG